GAUUCUGGCUCAGGAUGAACGCUAGCUACAGGCUAACACAUGCAAGUCGAGGGGCAGCAUAUCGAAAGCUUGCUUUGAUGAUGGCGACCGGCGCACGGGUGAGUAACGCGUAUCCAACCUUCCCUAUACUAGAGGAUAGCCCGGCGAAAGUCGGAUUAAUACUCUAUGUUGUAUUUAGAAGACAUCUGAAGAAUACCAAAGGUUUACCGGUAUAGGAUGGGGGAUGCGUCUGAUUAGGUUGUUGGCGGGGUAACGGCCCACCAAGCCCACGAUCAGUAGGGGUUCUGAGAGGAAGGUCCCCCACAUUGGAACUGAGACACGGUCCAAACUCCUACGGGAGGCAGCAGUGAGGAAUAUUGGUCAAUGGACGAGAGUCUGAACCAGCCAAGUAGCGUGCAGGAUGACGGCCCUAUGGGUUGUAAACUGCUUUUAUACAGGGAUAAAGUGACGUACGUGUACGUUUUUGUAGGUACUGUAUGAAUAAGGACCGGCUAAUUCCGUGCCAGCAGCCGC
rnacentral:rRNA from 1 species